rnacentral:ncRNA from 1 species
AAAAGUUUUGGUCCUAAACUUUCUAUUACUUAUGAUUAGACUUACACAUGCAAGCAUCUACGUUCCAGUGAGUACGCCCAUUCAACGAUACUUAAAAACGGAGCUGGUAUCAGGCACACUAUUAAAAGUAGCCCAUAACACCUCGCAAUGCCACCCCCCCACGGGACCCAGCAGUGAUAAACAUUAAGCUAUGAGCGACAGCUUGACUUAGUCAAAUCCCUACAAGCCGGUAAACUUCGUGCCAGCCACCGCGGUUAUACGAAGGGCCAGAAACAAUAGACUUCGGCGUAAAACAUGGCUAGAGACCAACAAACGAGAUUAAAAACCAAGAAUAAAUGUAAAACUUAUAGUCUAUAAGAAAACCAAACAAUCUCAAUAAACCUUAACCCAUGAAAGCUAAGAAACAAACUAGGAUUAGAUACCCUACUAUGCUUAGCCAUUAACCCUAAUAUAUUUACCACAAAUAUAUUCGCCAGGGAAUUACUAGUGAAAAACUUAAAACUCUAAGGACUUGACGGUGCCCCACAUCAACCUAGAGGAGCCUGUCCUAUAAUCGACACCCCACGCUGUACCUUACCCCCUCUCGCAAUUCAGCCUAUAUACCGCCGUCGUCAGCCCACCUCAUGAGAGAUCAAAAGUGGACAAAAUUGUAACCACAAAAACGUCAGGUCAAGGUGUAGCUAAUGAGGCGGAAAAAGAUGGGCUACAUUCUCCAAAAUAGAGGACACGCACGGCAUAAUGAAACUUAUACCAUAAGGCGGAUUUAGUAGUAAAUAAAGAAAGAGAACUUAAUUGAACCCUGCUCUGGGACGCGUACACACCGCCCGUCACCCUCAUCUCAUAUUAGUUUCACCAAACUAAAUAAACCGACAAAUAAUCCUAGAUGAGGCAAGUCGUAACAUGGUAAGCGUACUGGAAAGUGCGCUUGGAAUA